rnacentral:rRNA from 1 species
UAAUACAUGCAAGUCGAGCGAACCAAUAAGAAGCUUGCUUUUGUUGGUUAGCGGCGGACGGGUGAGUAACACGUGGGUAACCUGCCUGUAAGACCGGGAGUAACUCCGGGAAACCGGUGCUAAUACCGGAUAGAUUAUCUUUCCACCUGGAGAGAUAAGGAAAGAUGGCUUUUGCCAUCACUUACAGAUGGGCCCGCGGCGCAUUAGCUAGUUGGUGAGGUAACGGCUCACCAAGGCGACGAUGCGUAGCCGACCUGAGAGGGUGAUCGGCCACACUGGGACUGAGACACGGCCCAGACUCCUACGGGAGGCAGCAGUAGGGAAUCUUCCGCAAUGGACGAAAGUCUGACGGAGCAACGCCGCGUGAAGCGAAGAAGGUCUUCGGAUCGUAAAGCUCUGUUGUUAGGGAAGAACAAGUAUCGGAGGAAAUGCCGGUUACCUUGACGGUACCUGACGAGAAAGCCACGGCUAACUACGUGCCAGCCGCUGC